CUUAUUUUCUCCAUCCAUCUAGUCAUCAAAUGCCUACUGAAUGCCACCUGGACACCCGGCACUACAUAGGAGAUGGAGACGUACAGAGUUUUCCUGCAGGAGAACAGUGCUGUCCCGGAAGGAAAUGAGCCGGCACAGACACGCCCCAGUGCAGGAGACUCACCAGCGCAGCCACCAAGCUGUCCUGGAAGGAAGCCGGCUCGGCAACCUGACAUUGACAAACCGCUCGCCAGUGUUUCCAAAGAUUCCCAGAGCUCGUGUUUUCCACUUACACGAUUCAAUUAGGAAUCCCAAAACGUGUAAAUCUUGGCAUUCUAUGGCUCCAUUAAAGAAACAAAGUAUUAAAUGCAGACA
rnacentral:lncRNA from 1 species